GUGCUCCCUUCGGCAGCACAUAUACUAAAAUUGGAAAGAUACAGAAAAGAUUAGCAUGACCCCUGCGCAAGGAUGACACGAAAAUUCAUGAAGCGUUCCAUAUUAAA
rnacentral:snRNA from 1 species